AAUCUAGGAGGCAGGUGCUCACUUGUCCUCUUCCAUGGUUGGAAAAUACAGGGAGGAGGCCAUAGUGGCAACUGUCACCAUGAUU
rnacentral:pre_miRNA from 1 species